rnacentral:rRNA from 1 species
AACGAACGCUGGCGGCAUGCCUAACACAUGCAAGUCGAACGAGACCUUCGGGUCUAGUGGCGCACGGGUGCGUAACGCUUGGGAACCUGCCCUUAGUUUCGGAAUACCUCCCCGAAAGGGGUGCUAAUACCGGUUAUUGUCUUCGGCCCAAAGAUUUAUCGCCUUUGGAUGGGCCCGCGUUGGAUUAGCUAGUUGUUAGGGUAAAAGCCUACCAAGGCGACGAUCCAUAGCUGGUCUGAGAGGAUGAUCAGCCACACUGGGACUGAGACACGGCCCAGACUCCUACGGGAAGCAGCAGUGGGGAAUAUUGGACAAUGGGCGAAAGCCUGAUCCAGCAAUGCCGCGUGAGUGAUGAAGGCCUUAGGGUUGUAAAGCUCUUUUACCCGGGAUGAUAAUGACAGUACCGGGAGAAUAAGCUCCGGCUAACUCCGUG